rnacentral:rRNA from 1 species
GCCUACGGGGCGCAGCAGUGAGGAAUAUUGGUCAAUGGGCUUACGCCUGAACCAGCCAAGUCGCGUGAGGGAAGACUGCCCUAUGGGUUGUAAACCUCUUUUGUCAGGGAGCAACGCCGGCUACGUGUAGCCGGACUGAGAGUACCUGAAGAAAAAGCAUCGGCUAACUCCGUGCCAGCAGCCGCGGUAAUACGGAGGAUGCGAGCGUUAUCCGGAUUUAUUGGGUUUAAAGGGUGCGUAGGCGGAAUGCCAAGUCAGCGGUAAAAUCGCGGGGCUCAACCUAGCUCCGCCGUUGAAACUGGCGU